GGCAAACACUUUUGAAAUCUCAUUUUUCGUAAUUAGGAACCGAAUUCUUUCCAAAUGAGCUGCUAUGACUGCUAAGUAGCACACUCUUGCUCAGGCUGCAGCUUCGAAGCAGCGAGUUGAUUCACUGAUAAAGCCUUAAGAUCAGCAGUGUGUCAGGCAGGGCAGCUGCCUCGGGUGCUUUUAUGGGUCUGUGUGCCUUUUGUUUCGUUGCCCUAGAAAGGCUUAAGUGAGGAAAAGCAGGGUGCACACCUGCAUGGCUUCCUGCAGCACGGUGGGGACUGUUCCUCCUGAAAAUGGAGCACCUUCUGAUGCAGUAGGAUCUGCCAUGCUGAGAAAGAGAGAUGGGCUCCUGUUAGCAUCAAGAGCAAAAGGUCUUUGUACACAAAUUGCUCAACAUUCACUUGAAGAAAACUGAGUGUACUAUAUCAGAAAACUUCAGCUCUGUCUUAAUUUAGACUUAACAAGUCAAGAAAGAUACCACAAGAAAAUAGUUCAACUUUGCAGCCUAGAGGAGCUGAACCUGUGGUCUUCUGCAUUGCACUUAAGUGCUGUUGCUUUGUGUAUAGCUCUGAGCAACACCAGCUUAAACUAGAAGUGAGAAAAAAGAGUAAGAAUUUCCUUUUUGUAGUGAAAGUAUUAAUACCUCAAUAGGAAGAAGGAAAGCUUUAUUUGGAAAGGAAAAAACCCCAACAGAAAUGUGUGCUGUUACCCUGAGGACUGCUCUGAAGCAUUACUGCUCUGCAGUAUGUGAAACACCUGUUAUUAUAGGUAUUGAUGAUACUGAAGAAAUAACAAGGCUCUACAGCAUGGAAACCUGUGUCAAUAGUUUGCAGGUUAAAUAUAUAAAGGGAUGACUUGGCUGUGGGAACUUUCCUCUUCCUCAGACAGUAUCUGAUAAGGCUGCUACCAACAAAUCAAAGACUAUCACCACUAUGAACUUGUGAUAUUUUAAGAUGACUUGUAGUGUGUGUGAAACAAAUAAACGGAAUGGCUUAGAGGCACGGAAACUGAGGGAGGGAGAUACAGACCCUGAUGUACAAGGUGCUACUAUUGCUUUACUCGUGUUCUGUCAGGCCUUCUGCAAACAUGGCCCAACUGGGACUCUAUGGUGGAGGUAAGACAGCAUUUACUGCAGAGUGUUACGUAAUUGAGUAUAAGUCUACAUAUAAUUUGGGAAAGUUAACCAGCAGGUAUAGAUUAGCUAGUACCAAGCCAUCAGCAAGUAAGUAACCAGUUUAGCUGAAGGCAGGUUGGAUUUUGUGAUGGUGAUAGGGGAGACCCUGCACAGAGGGAGCUUGUUUAGUACCUCCACGUGGGGUGUUAUUCCUGAAUUUCAGCCUGAUUGUUCAGAAGACAAUGCCCUGCCUAGAAUUCAGCUCACUGCCCUUUAAAAUUGUGGUUCUUCAUUUGUUGAGACAGUCAUAUGAGUGCCUAUAGAACCCAGAAGUUGGUACUAGGAAAUGAAACUGGGGGGGAAAACAGAAUCGGACUAAGAGGAGGAAAAAUCUGCCACUGUUGAAGAGCUUUUCCGAAUGAGAGUUCAAGGAGUGGUCCAGGGGAAGCAAACAUCCAAUUAAUUGUCAUCCCUUUUCAUUUUCCCUUUCAAAGUGAAUCAUGGAAGGAUACAAAGAAAAGAUGCUAUGGGUAAAAACGUUUAUUUGAUGUUUUAUAAUGUGAAAGGAUCUCAUUCAUUGGGCAAUAUUUGAACACCUUAUACAAAGCUAAAUCAUGAGCUGUUCUCAGCAUCCAGCACUCAUUCAGAGUCAGAAGGCAGAGCAGAUGUUCAGCACAAAUCUAACAAAUCCCAGGGUUUAUGGGUAUGCUGACACUGUUUAAGGGUAGCAAAUUCUAAGUGGGCAUGUUAAAAGGAGCUGCUCAAGAACAUUCAUUUCACAAUAACUCAGCCCACUGUUAUCCUGCAUUGAUUUUAUGUGUAAGCAAGAAGUAGGUGCCUGGCACUUCCAAGAGCUUCUUGUAGGUUUAUUGCUCAUUUUGGGCCAGAUUGUGUGGAGUGCCUCAGGGAUACCAGAAUACGUUCUCUGUCCUGAGCAGGUACAGCACAGAUCAUGCAGGCAACAUAUGAA